UACGAAGGGGGCUAGCGUUGCUCGGAAUUACUGGGCGUAAAGCGCACGUAGGCGGAUUGUUAAGUCGGGGGUGAAAUCCUGGAGCUCAACUCCAGAACUGCCUUCGAUACUGGCGAUCUUGAGUCCGGGAGAGGUGAGUGGAACUCCGAGUGUAGAGGUGAAAUUCGUAGAUAUUCGCAAGAACACCAGUGGCGAAGGCGGCUCACUGGCCCGGUACUGACGCUGAGGUGCGAAAGCGUGGGGAGCAAACAGG
rnacentral:rRNA from 1 species